rnacentral:rRNA from 1 species
GAUGAACGCUAGCGGCAGGCUUAACACAUGCAAGUCGAGGGGUAUUUAUCUUCUGUUAGAGAGACCGGCGCACGGGUGCGUAACGCGUAUGCAAUCUACCUUUUACAGAGGGAUAGCCCAGAGAAAUUUGGAUUAAUACCUCAUAGUAUAUAGACUCGGCAUCGAGUUUAUAUUAAAGUCACAACUGUAAAUUAUGAUCAUGCCUCCCAUUAGCUAGUUGGUAAUGUAACGGCUUACCAAGGCUACGAUGGGUAGGGGUCCUUAGAGGGAGAUCCCCCACAAUGGUACUGAGACACGGACGAGAAUGCUACGGGAGGGAGCAGAGAGGAAGAUUGAACAAUGGGCGCAAGCAUGAUAAAGCCAUGCCGCGUGCAGGAUGACGGUCCUAUGGAUUGUAAACUGCUUUUAAAAGAGAAGAAACACUGAUAAGUGUAGCAGCUUGACGGUAUCGUAAGAAUAAGGAUCGGCUAACUCCGUG